GUGCUUGCUUCGGCAGCACAUAUACUGAAAUUGGACCAAUAUAGAGAAGAUUAGCAAGACCC
rnacentral:snRNA from 1 species